rnacentral:rRNA from 1 species
UACGUAGGGUGCGAGCGUUAAUCGGAAUUACUGGGCGUAAAGCGUGCGCAGGCGGUGAUGUAAGACCGAUGUGAAAUCCCCGGGCUUAACCUGGGAACUGCAUUGGUGACUGCAUUGCUGGAGUAUGGCAGAGGGGGGGUGGAAUUCCACGUGUAGCAGUGAAAUGCGUAGAGAUGUGGAGGAACACCGAUGGCGAAGGCAGUCCCCUGGGCCAAUACUGACGCUCAUGCACGAAAGCGUGGGGAGCAAACAGG